rnacentral:other from 1 species
AGAGUCCUGAGGUGUUCGUGGGACACUAUUGUUUUGAGCCAACAUUUUUACAUUGGGAGCCUGUUGUUUCAAUCAGGAUGACAUGCCUCUUUAUGUGGACGUUUGAACGAUUGAACAGGGCACCCACCUGCUGAGAGCAGGCUUCAAAACUAAGUCAGUUUGACGGCACAUCGGGACUCUU